UUCCGGUUGAUCCUGCCGGAGGCCAUUGCUAUUGGGAUUCGAUUUAGCCAUGCUAGUCGCACGAGUUCAGGCUCGUGGCGAAUAGCUCAGUAACACGUGGCCAAACUACCCUUCGGAGCACGAUACCCUCGGGAAACUGAGGCUAAUAGUGCAUACCACAAUCCACCUGGAAUGAGGAUUGUGCCAAAUGCUCCGGCGCCGAAGGAUGUGGCUGCGGCCGAUUAGGUAGACGGUGGGGUAACGGCCCACCGUGCCAAUAAUCGGUACGGGUCAUGAGAGUGAGAACCCGGAGACGGAAUCUGAGACAAGAUUCCGGGCCCUACGGGGCGCAGCAGGCGCGAAACCUUUACACUGCACGCCAGUGCGAUAAGGGAAUCCCAAGUGCGUAGGCAUAGAGCCUACGCUUUUGUACACCGUAGGGAGGUGUACGAAUAAGGGCUGGGCAAGACCGGUGCCAGCCGCCGCGGUAAUACCGGCAGCCCGAGUGAUGGCCGACCUUAUUGGGCCUAAAGCGUCCGUAGCUGGCCGCACAAGUCCAUCGGAAAAUCCACCCGCCCAACGGGUGGGCGUCCGGUGGAAACUGUGUGGCUUGGGACCGGAAGGCGCGACGGGUACGUCCGGGGUAGGAGUGAAAUCCCGUAAUCCUGGACGGACCGCCGAUGGCGAAAGCACGUCGCGAGGACGGAUCCGACAGUGAGGGACGAAAGCCAGGGUCUCGAACCGGAUUAGAUACCCGGGUAGUCCUGGCCGUAAACAAUGUCUGUUAGGUGUGGCUCCCACUACGAGUGGGUGCUGUGCCGUAGGGAAGCCGCUAAACAGACCGCCUGGGAAGUACGUCCGCAAGGAUGAAACUUAAAGGAAUUGGCGGGGGAGCACUACAACCGGAGGAGCCUGCGGUUUAAUUGGAUUCAACGCCGGG
rnacentral:rRNA from 1 species